AGCGAACGCUGGCGGCAGGCUUAACACAUGCAAGUCGAGCGGGCGUAGCAAUACGUCAGCGGCAGACGGGUGAGUAACGCGUGGGAACAUACCUUUUGGUUCGGAACAACACAGGGAAACUUGUGCUAAUACCGGAUAAGCCCUUACGGGGAAAGAUUUAUCGCCGAAAGAUUGGCCCGCGUCUGAUUAGUUAGUUGGUGAGGUAAUGGCUCACCAAGGCGACGAUCAGUAGCUGGCUGAGAGGAUGAUCAGCCACAUUGGGACUGAGACACGGCCCAAACUCCUACGGGAGGCAGCA
rnacentral:rRNA from 1 species